rnacentral:pre_miRNA from 1 species
UUGGAUGAAAUCCAUGUAGGACCUACACUUUGAAAAUAAAACUCAUAUAAAAUGGUGAAACAUAUAUUGAUUUCACUCAA